UCCCUGGUAGUCCGGUGGUUAGGACUCUGUGCUUUCACUGCCAUGGUGUGGGUUCAAUCCCUGCUCAGGGAA
rnacentral:tRNA from 1 species